GGUUCUGUAGUGUAAGGGUUAACACGCCGCAAAUGCCUUUUGAGACCAAGGAUUUUCGGCAGAGACUCCGGGUUCGAUUCCUGGCAGGGCCG